rnacentral:tRNA from 1 species
UUCGAGAUGGCAGAGGAUAAGUGCCUUGGAUUUAAGCUCCAAAUACGGACCAAAGGUGGUCCUUUCGAAA